rnacentral:tRNA from 1 species
GGCCCGUUAGCUCAGUUGGUUAGAGCGUCGUGCUAAUAACGCGAAGGUCGUGGGUUCGAUCGCCCCACGGGCCA